rnacentral:lncRNA from 1 species
CAGGGAGGUUGCAGUGAGCCGAGAUGGCGGCAGUACAGUCCAGCUUUGGCUCGGCAUCAGAGGGAGACCGUGGAAAGAGAGGGAGAGGGAGACCAUGGGGAGAGGGAGAGGGAGAGGGAGAGGGAGGAGAGGGAGAGGGAGAGGGAGAGGGAGAGGGAGAGGGAGAGGGGGGGCGAUCUGACAUUUUUGCUCUCAGAUGAAACAUGAUAAAGGAAGCCAAGCUGCCAGGAUUCCUGGAGGGGACCUUGGGUGCUGGGUCUUGGGCUCCAGGGCCCUAAUGGGACUGAACCAGAAGGAGCCAGGGAAGGGCAAACACUGGGACUGAGGCCCUAGGACCCAAUGGCCAUUGGUGGCCAGACCUUAUGGCCCCAACAUACCCUGUCCUCAGGCCACAGACAUCAUGGGCUUCAGUCAGGUCCCAGCCUCCCAGUAGUGUCCUGGUACUAGCAGGUGCUGACCCCUGAGCCACGACCAUAGUUCUGGGUUUUGGGUUUUGGUAAAACCACCUCAGGGACAGAGUUCUGGGGUUGGGUUUGGCAGGAACCAUGGUGCCUCCCAGGGAUGGUGUGUCACUCCUACUUGCCACAAAAUGUGCACAAAGGCUGUCCCACUGUCCAGCCCAUCCUGCUGGACAGGAUGGAGGAAGUCAGGGAACAGGUAGGGUGGACAUCUGGGGUGCAGGGAGAGGCAGGUGCAUGCUGGGAGGUCAGACCCUGUGAGGGCUGUGGGGGCAUCAGUUGGAGUGGGCUCCAGGUGCAACCUCAAUGCACUAGGCAGGUCUCAGGCCAGGCUCCCUGGACCCCGGCUGGGUGAUGUGGUCACUCCCUGGGGGACUGCUGUCAGGCCCUGGCCACCCACCCUGGGGAGCACUGUCCCAUCUCAGGACUGGACUUUCUGAGUCCUGAGACAGGACAAUACUGUCUAGGCCUGACAGACUGGGAGGACCUGUUAAGUCCUCCAUCCCUAGACCAGCCUCCCACACAGCAAGGACAGUCUCUUAGCUCUACCUUCAGGGCACUGACUGAUCCUGCUCACUCUAAGGCAACCAAGGCAGAGCUGAGGACCUGUGCCAGGCUGGGAGCCAGUCCCCUCCCUAAAUGGGCCUGAGGGAAGCACCAUCCCUGUCCCAAACCGCUGCAAGUUUCAGCCCAGGAGACACAUAGGGAAGGGAGGACGGAGCCCCUCUGCUGGCUGACACUGGAAAAGCGGGACCCGGGAGAAGAGGGAGCGCAGGGCUGGCAGGGGACACUCCAGGCCAAUGGAUAGCUCCGGCUGCACCAUGGGGCUGCCCCUCCUGGGCUGGAGGCUGUGCCCUCUGCAGUAUCUGAGAAAGUCCAUUCCUGAGAUGGGACAGUGCUGCCCAUGGUGGGUGCCCGGUGCCUGACAGCAGUCCCCCAGAGAGUGACCACAUCACCCUGCUGGGGUCCAGGGAGCCUGGGCUGAGACCUGCCCAGUGCACUGAGGGUGCACCUGGAGCCCACCCCACCUGACGCCCCCACAGCCCUCACAGGGUCUGACCUCCCAGCAUGCACCUGCCUCUCCCUGCACCCCUGCUGCCCACCUUGCCUGUUCUCUGGCUUCCUCAUCCUGUGCAGCCCAUAGACUGUGACCAUCUAUCCGGCCACUCUGGCCCUUCCUUUACCUUUGUCCUGUCAGAAUCUCUGAGCAAGAUCUCCCAGGUCCAUCCAAACACCUGCUUUGUCCAGUUUUGACUGGGCCUUUGGGCACUACUGGGCCAUCCUGACUGUCCACAGCGCCCUCGAUAACGUGCAUUGCACCUGACAUCUCCCAGCAGUGCUCAGCAGCCCCCGCUGACCAGGUCCCUGCUGACCAUAUCCCGCACAUCAGGUCCUUCCUGACCACACCCUCACUGAUUAGAACCCCAUGACCAGACCCCACUAACCAGGCCCUUGCUGCUAGGCCCACAGUGUCCAGGACCCCACUGACCAGGACCUUACUGACCAGGGCCUCACUGACCAGGUCCUUACUGACUAGGCCUCACUGACCAGGUUCCACUGAUCGUGACCCCAAUGCCUGGCACCACAGAUGAGGCCCCACUGACCAGGCCUCCAGGGAACAGGCUGCCACUGAUCAGGCCCCUAUUAACCAGGCCGUAGGGGACCAGAUGCCCCUGACUGUGACCCUAGUGAGUAGGCCCCACUGAAUAGGCACCCACUGCUCAGAUCCCUGCUGACCAGGUCACCCCACAGACCAGAGCUACAAGAGCCACCACAGAAUGUGCUCUCUCUGAACAGGCCCCCACUGAUUAGGUUCCACUGACCAGACACCAAACAAGUGGCUGCCACUAGGUCCCCACUCACCAAGACCCCACUACUAGGUCCCCCUAAUGAGACCCUCUCUAAGUAGACCCCUGCUGACCACGCCCCCAAUAAAUAGGCCUCACUGACCAAGUCCCAGCUGACUAGGUCCACUGAUGAGGCCCACACUGAUCAGGGCCCUCAUAACCAUACCAGAAGGCCAAGCGACAAUGAGAUAUUUCAUAUGGCAGAAGUAGGAGCAAGACAGAGAGAGAAAGGAGGUGCCACAUCCUGUUAUACAACCAGAUCUCAUAAGAACUCACUAUCAGGAGAUCAGCAUCAAGAAGAUUAACCAUUGGUGAAGGAACCACCACCCACACCACCGCCCACUGUUUGCAGGCAGAAGCCUCCUGCAGAGGCAGAGACUCUUGGGAAACUUCUACCAUGGCGGUGCAGAAGGGAAAUAUGGGCUUGGAGCCCCCACACAGGAGGUCACCAUCCUCCAGACCCCAGAUUCAUAAGCCCACCAACAGUUCACACCCUCAGUAUGGAAAAGCUAUACGCACUCCACACCAGCCUAGCCCAUGAGAGAAGACAUGGGGGCUGAAGCCUGCAACGCUGCAGGUGCACUGCCCUAGCAGAGGUUUCCCAUGAGCCUCUGCCUCUGAAGCAGACUACUCCCCCUUCCUACUACCCACCACCCUCCCACCACCCUACUGCCAACCUACUUCCCACACUACCCACCCCUUUUCCUUCCAACCCCAACCUCCUCCUGCCAUGAUUAAAUCACCUCCCACCAGGCCCCACCUCCAACAUUAAGGAGUACAUUCCACAGGAGUUUUGGAAAAGAAACACAGCCAAACCAUAUUAUUCUGACCCUGAUACCCCAGAAUCUCAUGUCCUUCUCACAGAGCAAAAUACAUUCAUGCCUUGUCAAAAGUUUCCAAAAGUCUUAACUCAUUCCAGCAUUAACUCAAAUGUAAAAACUUCAACAUCUCAUCUGAGACAAGUCUACAGUCCCUUUCACCUAUGAGUCCCUGAAUUUAAAAGGAUGUUCUUUUCUUUCAGGGUACAAUGAUGGUACAGGCAUUGGGUAAGCUUUCUCAAUUGAAAGGGAAGAAAUUUCCCAGGAAAAAACCACAAAUAGAACCACACGCCCAAUGCAAGUCCAAAACCCAGGAGGCCAGUAUCCAUUCAAUCUCACAGCUCCAAAAUCACGAAGAGAACUCACUAGCAUAAGCACAGCAAUAAGGAGAUGGUGUUUAAUCAUUUGUGAAGGAUCCACCCCCCCACCACCACUUUUCACCCCUCACCCCCACCAUAAUCCCCUCAUUCUCCCUACCCCCCACCUUCCAACCCUCACUCUCCACCAUGAUUAAAUCACCCUCCACCAGGCCCCACCUUUAACUUUAUUAUUCUGUCCCUGGCUCCCAAAUCUCAUGUCCUUCUCACAUUGCAAAAUAUAAUGAUGCCUUCCCUACAGUCCCCCAAAUCUUGUAUCAUUCCAGCAUUUAUACAAAUGUCCAAAGCUUAAAGUCUCAUCUGACACAAGGCUACAGUCCCUUAGGUACAAGAGCCUCUGAACUAUAAAGCAAGUUAACUACUUCCAAGGUACAAUGCUUCUGCAGGCAAUGGGUAAGCAUUCUCAACUGAAAGGAAGAAUUUUGCCAGAAAGAACAAAACACAUACAGGUCUUACAGGCCCCAUGAAACUCCAAACCCAGAAGGCCAGUCAUUCAAUCCUACAGUUCCAAAAUCACCCUUUUUGAAACGUUGUCCCACAUCCAGGGCACAGGGACAUGAGGGCUGGGCUCUGAAGGCCUUGGGCAGCCCUGCACCUGUGGCUUUGCAGGGUUUAUGCCCCACAGCUGCCCCCAUGGGCUGGGCGGGUGUGGAGUGCCUAUAGCUUUUCCUGACUGAUGGUACAAGCUGUUGGUGGGUCUAUGAAUCUGGGGUCUGCAUGAUGGUGGCCUCCAGUGUGGGGGCUCCAACGCCAUAUUUUCCUUCUGCACUGCCCUAGUAGAGGUUUCUUAUGAGGCUCUGCAUUUUUGGGAUGCUUUUAUCUGGUCACCUAGGCAUUUCCAUACAUCUUCCAAAGUCUACAGAGAGGCUCCCAAGCCUCUAGUCUCAUGAUCCAUCCACCUAGUGGCUUAACACUAUGAGGAAAUUACCAAGGCUUCUAGCUUGCACCCUCUGAAGCAGUGACCCAAGCUGCAUCUGUGCAUUUUCAGCCAUGGCUGGAGCUGGAGCUGCAGGGACGCAGGCAGCAGUGCCCUGAGGCUGCACAUAGAGCGGAGCCACAGGACUGGCCCAAGAAACCAUUCUUCUCUCCUAGGUCCCAGGGCCUGUGACAGCAAGGGCUGCUGCAAAGGUCUCCAAAAUGCCGUCAAGGGCUUUUCCCUAUUGUCUUGGCUAUUAGCACUGGGCUCCUUUUCAUGCAAGUUUCUGAAGCCUUCCUGAAUUUUUCCCCUGAAAUUCAGCUUUUCUUUUUGACCACUUGGCCAGGCUGCAAAUUUUCCAAACUUUUGAGUCCUGUUUCUCAUUUAAUGUAAGAGUUGGGACUCAUUUAAUAUAAGUCCCAUCCAGAGGUCAUUUUCGCAGUCACACAUCACAGCACAGGCUGUUCGAUGCAGACAAGACACCUCUUGAGCUUUGCUUCCUAGAAGUUCAUUCCACCAGAUAUGCACUAAGUCAUCACCUUCAAGUUUAAAGUUUCACAGAUCUCCAGGGCAGGGUCACCAUGCAGCCAUGUUCUUUGCUACAGCAAAACAAAAGUAACCUUGGCUUCUGUUCCCAGUAAGUUCCUCAUUAUUAUCUGAGACCUUCCAAGUCUGGUUUUCACUGACCAUUUUCCUGUUAGCCUUCUGAUCACAAGUAGUUAACAAUUCUUUACAAAGAUCCAAACUUUUCCUCAUUUUCCUGUCUUCGAAGCCCUCCAAACUCUCCUGGUCUCUGUCUGUCACCCCCUUCUGAAACUGCUUCUACAUUAUCAGCUAUCUUUGUCGCAGCCUGGCAAUGUGGUAAAGGAAGACAAGUCCAUUUUCAGGGAGAAAAUUCAAGAAGGUCUCAGAUACUUGAAUGAAAAGAAGCAGAGUGCUGAUUGCCAAGACAAUAGGGAAAAGGUCUUGAAGACAUCCACUUCCCAGUACUAAUUUUCUCUAUGAUCAUAAAGAACCUCAUGAUUCUGCAGGCUGUAAGGAAACAUACUGGCUUCUGAAUCUGGGAGGACUCAGGAAGCCUCCCAAUCGUACCAGAAUGUCAAGGGGCAAUGGGAUGAUUCACGUGGCAGGAGUAGGAGCAAGACAGAGAGAGGAAAGAGGUGCCAUGCCCUAUUAUACAAGCGGAUCUCAUGAGAACUCACAAGGUCAGCAUCAAAAAGAUGGUGCUUAACCAUUGGUGAAGGAUUUGCCCCCCACCCCCAACUCCCACUGUUUCCAGGCAGAAGCCUGAUGUAGAGGCAGAUCCUCUUGGAAAACGUCUACUAGGGAAGUGUGGAAGGAAAAUAUGGGCUUGGAGCCCCCACGCAGAUGGCCACCAACCUCCAGACCCCAGAUUCAUAGACCCACCAACAGCUCACACCCUCAGUGUGAAAAAGCUAUGGGUAGUCAACACCGGCCCACCCCAUGAGAGCAGCCACAGGGGCUAAACCCUGUAAAGUCACAGGUGCACUGUCCUAGUAGAGGUUUUCCAUGAGCCUCUGCCUCUGCAGCAGGCUACUCCCCCUUCCUACUACCCACCACCCUAUGGCCAGCCUAUUCCUCCCCACCCUCCCCGCCCCUUUUUCCUUACACCCCCACCCUCCUCCCAUCCAGGAUUAAAUCACCUCCCACCAGGCUUCACCUCCAAAAUUCAGGAUUACACUUCCACAGAGUUUUUCUAGGGAAACACAGCCAAACCAUAGUAUUCCGAACUUGACCCUUCCAAAUCUCAUGUCCUUCUCACAGGGUAAAAUACAAUCAUGCCUUUUCAAAAGUUUCCAAAAUCCUUAACUCAUUCCAGCAUUAACUCAAAUAUAAAAAGUUCAAAGUCUCAUCCGAGACAAGGCUACAGUCUCUUAUGCCUAUGAGUCUCUGAAGUUAAAAUGGAGUUCAUUUCUUUAAAGGUACAAUGAUGACACAGGUAUUGGGUAAGCUGUCUUAAUCCAAGGGGAAGAAAUUUCCCAGAAAAAUAACACAAAUGGGACCAGAGGCCCAAUGCACAUCCAAAACCCAGCAGAACAGUAUUCAUUCAAUCUCACCACCACAAAAUCAUGAAGAGAACUAUCACAAGGACAGUAUUAAGGAGAUUGUGUUUAACCAUUUGUGAAGGAUCUGCCCCCCACCCGCCUUUCACCCCCAACCCCACCACAAUUUUCCCCAUUUCGCCCCACCACCCCCACCUUCCAACCUCCACUCUCCACCACGAUUAAAUCACCUUCCACCUGUCCCCCACCUUUAACAUUUCCCAUUACAAUUCCACAUCAGUGGGACACAGAGCCAGAUCAUAUUCUUCUGUCCCUGCCCCUGCAAAUCUGUCUUUCUCACAUUGCAAAAUACAAUGAUGCCUCUCCUACAGUCCCCCAAAUCUUAACUCAUUCCAGCAUUUACUCAGAUGUGUAAAGCCCAAAGUUUCAUCUGAGACAAGGAUACAGUCCCUUCUGCCCAUAAGUCUCUGAAUUAUAAAGCAAGUUAACUACUUCCAAGGUACAAUGAUUGUACAGGCAAUGGGUAAGCACUCCCAGCCAACAGAAGAAAAAUUGCCAGAAACAAAAACAAAACACCGAUGGGACUCACAGGAUACAUGAAUGUCCAAAACGCAGUAGGCCAGUCAUUCAAUCCUACAGCUCCAAAAUCAUCCUUUUGGAAUCCUUGUCCCACAUCCAUGGCACAGGAGUGUGAGGGCUGGACUCCAAAGGCUUUGGGCAGAUCUCCACCUGUGGGUUUGCAGUGAUCAGUCCCCGCAGCUGCCCUCAUGGAUGGGGCUGGUGUUGAGUGUCUGUAGCUUUCCCACAUUGAGGGGGCAAGCUGUUGGUGGGUCUAUGAAUCUGGGGUUUGAAGGAUGGUGCCUCCCUGUGUGAGGGCUUCAACCUGAUACAUCCCUUCUUUCCUGCCCUAGUAAAGGUUUCCCAUGAGGCUCUGCCUCUUGGAAAGGCUUCUGCCUGGACACCCAGGCUUUUCUGUACAUCCUCUGGAGUCUAGACAGAGGCUCCCAAGCCUCUAGUCUCUUGCUCUGUGCACCUCCUGGCUUAACACUAUGUGGAAGCCAUCAAGGCUUGGAGCCACCUCUGAAGCAGUGACCCAAGCUGUACCUGUGCAUCUUUCAGCCAUGGCUGGAGCCGGAUCUGCAGGGAUGCAGGCAGCAGUGUCCUGAGGAUGCACACAGCAGCCAGGCCAUGGAGCUGGCCCAGGAAACAAUUCUCUCCUUGUCCCCAGGGCCUAUGACAGCAAGGGCUGCUGCAAAGGUCUCUGAAAUGCCUUCAAGGCCUUUUCCCCAUAGUCUUGGCUAUUUGCACUGGGCUCUUUUUUUAUGCAAAUACUUUAAGUGCUCUUGAAUUUUCCCCCUGAAAAUCAGCUUUCCUUUUUGACCACUUGGCUAGGCUGCAAACUUUUCAAAUUUUUGAGGUCUACUUCUCAUUUAAAUAGAAGUUGCAGCUUGAGGUAAUUUCUCAGGUCACACAUAAGAACACAGGCUGUUGGAUGUAGAGAGGACACCUCUUGAGCUAUGCUGCCUAGAUGCUCAUUCCACCAGAUACAUCCUAAAUCGUUACUCCCAUGUUCACAGUUUCAGAGCUCUCCAGGGCUAAGGCCAAUCAAAUGUAACCUUGGCUCUUGUUCACAAGAUGUUCCUCAUUUUCAUCUGAGACCUUUUAAUUCUGGCCUUCACUGUCCAUCUUUCUGUCCUUCUGAUCACAAGUAUUUAACAAUUAUUUUCAGUGGUCCAAAAUUUUCCUCAUCAUGCUGUCUUCUAAGUGUUCCCAACUCUUCUGACCUCUCUUUUUUACCCACUUCUGAACCUGCUUCUACAUUCUCAGAUAUCUUUGUCACAGCCUGGUAAUGUGGUAAAACAAGAAAAGUCCAUUUUCAGGGGAAAAAUUCACAAAGGCUUCAGAUAUCUUCAUGAAAAGAAGCUGAGUACUGGUUACCAACACAAUGGGGAAAAGGCCUUGAAGGCAUUUCAUAGCUCCACUUCACAGCACUAAUUUUGUGUACAAUCAUAAAGAAAGAGGUGUAAUUGGCUCACGGUUCUGCAGGCUGUAAAGGAAGCAUAGUGGCUUCUGCUUCCGGGAGGACUCAGGAAGCCUCCCAAUCAUACCAGAAGGCCAAGGGGCAAGGAAAUGCUUCAUGUGGCAGCAGUAGAAGCAAGACUGAGAGAGGAAAGAGGAGCCCGCCCUGUUAUACAACCAGAUCUCAUGAGAACUCAGUAUCACAAGGUCAGCAUCAAGAAGAUGGUGCUUAACCACUGGUGAAGGAUCUGCCCCCGCAACCCCCACCUCCACCUCCCACUGUUUCCAGGCAGAAGCCUGCUGCAGAGGCAGAGCCAGAUUCAUAGACCCACCAACAGCUUGCACCCCCACUGUGGAAAAGCUACAGGCACUCAACAGUAG